CCCCGAGGCCUUAUACAGUUUCCUCUUGGGCCAGGGAUGUGGGCAGGGGUGGGCAGUGUUGGUGGUCUCUUCUGCUCUGCAGCCUCAGGAGUGCCCACCUGACCAGGCGGUCGGGUCUCUCUCCCACGGUGUCUGGGAGCAGAGAGCUGCUGCAGGCCGGGAUCCUUGGGUCUGACAUGGUUGUUUUUAACUGUUCUGUCUAGGUCUGUGCUGUUGUUUUAGAGAGAGGAUUUACAGAAAAGCCAUAAGUACUAUCUUACUGGGGCUUUGUUUUGUUUGAUAAGUUAAGCCUGCAGUCAUGCUCCUCAUAUUUUUCCUCUUUACAAUUUUUAAAAAAAUUUGACACAUAUAUGUAUUGCAGUGGUUCUGUCAACUUGAUAUGAUCUAGAUUAACCUGGGAGGUAGGCAUCUGGUCAUGCUUAUGAGGCAUUAUGAUAACUAAGUAAACUGAGAUGGAAAGAUUCAUCCACUGUGGGUGGCACUAUUCCCUAGGCUUGGAAUUUGGACUGUUUAAAAGGAACAAAUGAGAGAGCUCGUGCUGGUCUGCUUCUUGAUCAUGGAUGCAAUGUGACCAUUGCCUCAAGCUCCUGUUGGUGACUUCCCUGCCACCAUGGACUGUGGGCCAGACCAAACUCUUUCCCCCUUAAGUUGUGUCUGUCAAUGUAUUCUAACACACCAACAGGAAAGGGGAGUAAGGUGUAAAUAUCAUGUGAAGAGAAUACUCUUCUUCACACCUCUCUUGUUUCUGUGUCUUUCCUCCUCUACUUUCCUCAGUCCUCAUGGUUAAGUUUACUUUUGCUUUCAUAUCACUCAGAUCUUAUCUUAUGCAGCUGUAUAAAACCCGGGAACUGCAAAGAAGAGAAAAUAUAUUAUAUUUGCCGGAGGCAUUUUGGAGACAGGGUCUCAUGUAGUCUAGGCUGGGCUCAGAAUCAAAACAUAGACAGAGAUGACCUUGAACUUCUAACUCCUAGUCCUUAAUGCUAUCUUUAAAGAGGAAGUCUUGGUCAACUCAGGUGUCAUUCUUCAGGACUCCGACAUCUUGUUUCCUGGAAAAAGCUUUCUCACUAGUCUAGAGCUCAGCUGGCCAGUGAGCCCCAGUGGAGGGAGACCUAAGUUUCAUGAAGAAUCAUGAGAACAGACAGUGAGAAUUGCAGUAGAAGAGGCUCAAAGGAAGGCUACACAGAAUUUCCAUGUGGAAUUUAGGUCUAGUAGGAGAGUAACAGUGGCAAUGAAGGGAAAGGCUAAGGAAGGUUAAGGAAGCUAAGGUGUCAGCCUGGAAUAGGGUAUUCUGUGAGCCAGGUAGGUUAAUGAGGAAGAAGGCAGCUUAGGGUGAAACUUCAGAAGAACCCAGUGGACAGGCUGGAGGGUGGGACUGUGACUUUCUGGAUAUUUGCAGGAAAUCGGAGUUUCGAGAAGAUUACCCCAGUCUCUAUGGAUGUAGGUAAAUCAUGGCGGGAAUGAGAUGGGUGAAGCUGUCCAGCAGCGGCUAUAUAAAUGGUCACACCAGGAAAGUGGCAAUGUUUCUGGGGCCCUUAGCAUCACAGCCCAGGUCCUGACAUCCCCAACAAGUUAGGUUUGGCUACCUGUCCUCUGUAAGCCAAUAAAAUGGCCAGGUACUGGCGGAAAGCUGAGAAAAACGUAUUCAUGUGUCUACACUGGGAUGACAAAAGGGGAGGUCCAAAGACCUCUCCCCCAUCUCCAUCUUCCAGUCUGCAUAAGAUGCUUAAGUUUAAAUAGAAGGCAAGAUGUUUGCAUAACCUAUCAGUGCUGGUCAAGGUACAGUCCCACUCACCAUUAGCCCACCAUUGUCUUGGCUCCCAGUCUCUCCUGCAAGGAAUUGCUGACAAGUCAGAACUGUGUGAAAACUCUUCUUUGGCCAGUACCAGGGCCUCAGCUUUCUCUCUUCUCUUGGCAUGAGAGUCCUGGGGAAAUUCUGAUUUCUUGAGGACCGCUGUUUCUGUGUGACAGCGGAGAGCGGUGCAUAAGUGUCUUCAAAAUGUCCUUAUCUUGGCCAUGAUUGUUUCAGGAGCACCAGCCAGAGGAAGCAGCAGCAGCAGCAACAGCAGCAGCAGCAGCAGCAUGUAGAUGCUGAGAGGGAUGCUGAAGCAUCAUCCCUAUCAUUAAUAACUUAAUACUUUAAUUGUGUUGCCAUGGUACAAGUUGUAAAUAUUGAAACUUGGGCAGUGUAGACUAAGAUGGAGAUCAGGCCUUCUCACAAAGAAAGAUCUAGCUUGAAAAACAUCAGACUGUUGAUUCAAAACUACUUUCUUAUUGUGCCUUUCCACAGUCCCCUGACGGAGGACAAUGAUGCCAGCCAGCCCUUGGGAAACAACAGACUUGAUUCCAAGCAAACAGCUCAAAACCUGUGUCUUUGAACGACCAGCAACACUCCAUGUAUCCUGCCAAAUAGGCAUCGGGCUCUAAAAACCGUCAUUCUCUAAAAGUCACUUUCAUUUUCCCACCAGGCUAAGGAUCUAUGAAAAGGGAGAGGCCAGCUUCUUCAGAGAUCAUGAGUAUCUCCCUGUUUGGGAGGAAUUGUUCUCUUACUGGAACUGCUCACAAAGCAACCUAUUAUAUGGUGAGAGGGACCCUCCAGGCACCAUUGAAAUUAAUAUGAAAGGAACAAUCCAGAAUGCCAAGCACAGUGCAUAAAACGCAGCCAGUCACGAUUUCAGAACCGGUAAUGAAAAGCUCAUAGAGUUAAAGAUUGGAUCCAUAAAAGCCACAAAAAGCCAUGCAACGCAAGAGGACCAAACGAUGGGUAAACAAAACAGACAAAGGAAAAGGAGCAGAGAGCAGGAGGAGGAGGCUGGACCUGCUUUCACAGUCAUCAGAUCUCGCAACCCCACCUGCACGCUGCCUGUCGCAAUGUGUCUCAAGGUGUGUUAGUCUAAAAGCAGGGUUUGGCAACCUUUGCGAACCUGGUAUUUGGGGCCGGAUUGUUCUUUGUUGCAGGUGACAGGAGUGGGGGUUGUUGGUACAUUGUGGGAUGCUUAAGGGCACCCCAGGCCUGAACCUACUGAAUACCAAUAGUACCCACAAUCGUAACAACUAAAACUGCCUCUGUUGCUACCAAGCAUUCCUAUGGAAGGCAAUCUGUCCCCUUUGCUUAAAGGGAAGCAAUGACAGAAAUGACUCCAGGGAGCUGGAGCUGUAAUUAUAUGCAUACCCUUUCUAAAGAUUUUUAAUUUUUUCUUGUGUGUGUGUGUGUGUGUGUGUGUGUGUGUGUGUUUUGUGUGAGGGUGUCUUAUAUGUGGAUAUGCCUGAGGAAGCCAGAGGAAGAUGGCAAAUCCUCUGUGGCUGAAGUUACGGGGAGCUAUGAACUGCCAUGUGGAUGCUGGGAACUAAUCACCAAGCCACUUCUCCAUCCCUCAUUUAAGAAGGACUAAUUAAUAUAAUGUUAACUUUGGCCAAAAAAAAAUCCAAAUUAAUCUAGAGCAGUGCUGCAACCAUUUAAUACAGUUCCUCAUGUUCUGGUGACCCCAAUCAUAGCAUUGUUUUUGUUCUUACUUUGUAGUUGCAAUUUUGCUACUGUAAUGAAUGGUAAUGUAAAUAUCUGAUAUGUAAGAUAUUUGAUAUGCGACCUCAGGUUAAGAACUGCUGCCCGAGAGGGU